CCUACGGGUGGCUGCAGUGGGGAAUAUUGGUCAAUGGGCGUAAGCCUGAACCAGCCAAGUCGCGUGAGUGAUGAAGGUUCUAUGGAUCGUAAACCUCUUUUUUAAGGACAUAAUGUGCGGGACGUGUCCCGUUUUGUAUGUACCUUCUGAGUAAGGAUCGGCUAACUCCGUGCCAGCAGCCGCGGUAAUACGGAGGAUCCGAGCGUUAUCCGGCUUUAUUGGGUUUAAAGGGUGCGGAGGCGGGCUUUUAAGUCAUCGGUGAAAGUCUGUGGCUCAACCAUCGAAUUUCCGUUGAAACUGGGUGGCUUGAGUAGGUGUGAGGCAGGCGGAAUGCGUGGUGUAGCGGUGAAAUGCUUAGAUAUCACGCAGAACCCCGAUUGCGAAGGCAGCCUGCCAAGCCAUGACUGACGCUGAGGCACGAAAGCGUGGGGAGCAAACAGGAUUAGAUACCCGAGUAGUC
rnacentral:rRNA from 1 species